rnacentral:rRNA from 1 species
GGUAGUCCACGCCGUAAACGAUGUCGACUUGGAGGUUGUGCCCUUGAGGCGUGGCUUCCGGAGCUAACGCGUUAAGUCGACCGCCUGGGGAGUACGGCCGCAAGGUUAAAACUCAAAUGAAUUGACGGGGGCCCGCACAAGCGGUGGAGCAUGUGGUUUAAUUCGAUGCAACGCGAAGAACCUUACCUACUCUUGACAUCCAGAGAACUUAGCAGAGAUGCUUUGGUGCCUUCGGGAACUCUGAGACAGGUGCUGCAUGGCUGUCGUCAGCUCGUGUUGUGAAAUGUUGGGUUAAGUCCCGCAACGAGCGCAACCCUUAUCCUUUGUUGCCAGCGGUUAGGCCGGGAACUCAAAGGAGACUGCCAGUGAUAAACUGGAGGAAGGUGGGGAUGACGUCAAGUCAUCAUGGCCCUUACGAGUAGGGCUACACACGUGCUACAAUGGCGCAUGCAAAGAGAAGCGACCUCGCGAGAGCAAGCGGACCUCAUAAAGUGCGUCGUAGUCCGGAUUGGAGUCUGCAACUCGACUCCAUGAAGUCGGAAUCCCUAGUAAUCGUAGAUCAGAAUGCUACGGUGAGUACGUUCCCGGGCCUUGUACACACCGCCCGUCACACCAUGGGAGUGGGUUGCAAAAGAAGUAGGUAGCUUAACCUUCGGGAGGGCGCUUACCACUUUGUGAUUCAUGACUGGGGUGAAGUCGUAACAAGGUAACCGUAGGGGAACCUGC